UACGAGAGGUCCAAACGUUAUUCGGAAUUACUGGGCUUACAGAGUUCGUAGGCGGCUCUACAAGUGAGGUGUGAAAGCCCUCGGCUCAACCGAGGAACUGCGCUUCAAACUGUAGAACUAGAGGGAGAUAGAGGUGAGCAGAACUGAUGGUGGAGCGGUGAAAUGCGUUGAUAUCAUCAGGAAUACCGGAGGCGAAGGCGGCUUACUGGGUCUCUUCUGACGCUGAGGAACGAAAGCUAGGGGAGCAAACGGG
rnacentral:rRNA from 1 species